GCUCUGCUGGCGCAAUGGUAGCGCGCAAGACUUCUAAUCAUCUCUGAUGAACUGAUAUCUUGAGGCUGUGGGUUCGAGCCCCACGUGGAGCU
rnacentral:tRNA from 1 species